rnacentral:rRNA from 1 species
AACGAACGCUGGCGGCAGGCCUAACACAUGCAAGUCGAACGAUCCUUCGGGAUAGUGGCAGACGGGUGAGUAACACGUGGGAACCUUCCCUUCGGUACGGAAUAGCUCCGGGAAACUGGAAUUAAUACCGUAUACGCCCUUUGGGGGAAAGAUUUAUCGCCGAAGGAUGGGCCCGCGUCGGAUUAGCUAGUUGGUGAGGUAACGGCUCACCAAGGCAACGAUCCGUAGCUGGUCUUAGAGGAUGAUCAGCCACACUGGGACUGAGACACGGCCCAGACUCCUACGGGAGGCAGCAGUGGGGAAUAUUGGACAAUGGGCGCAAGCCUGAUCCAGCCAUGCCGCGUGAGUGACGAAGGCCUUAGGGUUGUAAAACUCUUUUGGCAGGGACGAUAAUGACGGUACCUGCAGAAUAAGCCCCGGCUAACUUCGUGCCAGCCGCCGCGGUAA